AACGUAGGGGGCUAGCGUUGUCCGGAAUCAUUGGGCGUAAAGCGCGCGUAGGCGGCCCGGUAAGUCCGUUGUGAAAGUCAAAGGCUCAACCUUUGAAAGCCGAUGGAUACUGCCGGGCUGGAGUCCGGAAGAGGCGAGUGGAAUUCCUGGUGUAGCGGUGGAAUGCGCAGAUAUCAGGAGGAACACCAAUAGCGAAGGCAGCUCGCUGGGACGGUACUGACGCUGAGGCGCGACAGCGUGGGGAGCAAACAGG
rnacentral:rRNA from 1 species